rnacentral:rRNA from 1 species
CCUGGUCCAGGAUGAACGCUAGCGGCGUGCCUUAGGCAUGCAAGUAGAACGGUCCCGAUAGCAAUAUCGGGAAAGUUGCGAACGGCUGAGUACAAGAUAGGAAUCUACCCUUUAGUGUGGAAUGCCCCCGCGAAAGCGGGGCUAAUACCGCAUAAUCCCGACUUGGUCGGGAAAAGCGCUUAACUGCGCGCUAUUGGAGGAGCCUAUUCUCCAUCAGCUAGUUGGUGAGGUAAUGGCUUACCAAGGCUAAGACGGAUAGGGGAUGUGAGAGCAUGACCCCCCAGAACGGGACUGAGACACGGCCCGUACACCUACGGGUGGCAGCAACUAGGAAUCGUGCGCAAUGGACGAAAGUCUGACGCCGCGACGCCGCGUGAGGGAUUAAGGCAUUCGUGUUGUAAACCUCUUUUAUUGAGUGGGAAACCACUUUUUGAAUAAGCACCUGCUAACUCUGUGCCAGCAGCCGCGGUAAUACAGAGGGUGCAAGCGUUAUCCGGAUUUAUUGGGCGUAGAGCGUUUCGUAGGCGACUUUGUAAGUUACUUUUCAAAUUCCGGGGCUUAACCUCGGGCAGGGAGGUAAUACUGCAAGGAUUGAAAUAUUUCGGGGUUUUCGGAACUCACGGUGUAGGAGUGAAAUCCGUUGAUAUCGUGAGGAACACCAAGGGCGUAGGCAGAAAACUAGGAAUUAUUUGACGCUGAGGAACGACAGCUAGGGGAGCGAAAGGGAUUAGAGACCCCUGUAGUCCUAGCCGUAAACCUUGCUCGCUAGGGAUCGGGUCGCAAGACUCGGUUCCGUAAGCUAACGCGUGAAGCGAGCCGCCUGGGGAGUACGAACGCAAGUUUAAAACUCAAAGGAAUUGACGGGGACCUGCACAACCAGUGGAGCAUGUGGUUUAAUUCGAGACGAACCGAAGGACCUUACCCGGGUUUGACAUGUUACCGUUCUAGUUUUCUAGAAAUAGAGAGCGAUCGCGAAAGUGAUGGUAACACAGGCGUUGCAUGGCCGUCGUAAGCUCGUGCCGUAGGGUGUUCCCUUCAGUGGGGUAACGAGCGAAACCCUUGCCCUGAUUUAAAUAAUAUCAGGGGACUUCCCGAUUUUAUAUCGGGAGGAAGCGAGGAUGACGUCAGGUCAGCAUGGCCCUUAUGUCCGGGGCGACACACAUGCUACAAUGGAGCCGACAAUGGGUUGCCAAGCCGUAAGGCGGAGCUAAUCCCAUCAAACGGCUUCUCAGUGGGGAUUGGGGGCUGAAACUCGCCCCCAUGAACGCGGAAUUGGUAGUAAUCGGAGGUCAGCUAUACUCCGGUGAAUACGUUCUCAGGUCUUGUACACACCGCCCGUCAAGGCAGCAAAGUUGGGGGUACCCGAAUCCCGAGUGAUCGGGAGAAGGUAACACCAGCGAUGAAGCUUAAGUCGUAACAAGGUA